ACACCAUUCACACUCCAUUCACACGCUGCAUAACCAUUCGCCCUCAUCCCCCUUAAACUCUUCGCCGCUGCAGCCACCGCAGUCUCUGCCACCGCCGCUGCAGCCACGCAGCCCCCGCAUCAGCCAUUGCAGCUCUCCGCAACCCCACAGCCUCGCAACCCCACAGCCUUCUCCUCUGUUCGAGCGCUCUCCUUCUCUCUGUGUCGCCGUUGUGUUUCUGCCACUGCCCUUCCUCCUCGCUUUCAUUCACGAGUCAUGACCGUUCCUUCACUCCUCCAUUGGAAGUAGAUCUGAAGAGCCACGAACCGAGGUGUCGCAUGUUCCUCCAUCAGAGUUCCUUGCUGUCGUCGACAAUCACAUUGUGCCCCUCCUUCCACACCUCCUCCAUACGCCAUUUUUCCUUUAUUUCUGAGGAAGACCGGGAAAACGUGUUGCGUGCAAGAGAGUCAGGCAAAGGAGUCUUAACUGCUCCCAUCAGGCUGCUCAAAACAAAUCGUCUAGGCAUUAUCCUCACAUGUGAAGUUUUCCAUGUUGGCAAUUGCUACUUAAAAUGAUUGAAGGUUGGGUAUGAAUUGAUGCAGGUGGAUCAGCCAUUGCUGAAUUGAAGAGAGCUUUGAACGAAUACUUAUCUCUUCUGAUUGGUCUUACCAAGAAAGAGCAUGGCCUUAAGGGACUAAUUGAAUUCAAGUGGAAAAAUCUUGAAGAUUUUCGGCAAGUUGCAGAUGACACUCAUGGCAGGGCCAUAAUAGAUGAAUUACAGGCUGAUGGUGUUGAUACAUCUUUUAUAGUGAUAAACUAACUGUUUGCAAUCUCCAUGAAGCUUUUUGUUUCUGUGAUCUUCAGUUUCUAGUCUUGCAGUUAUCUGAUUUGUUUCUAGUCGUUGGUCGGUAAAUUACUCUUUAUUAUGCAUGUGUAAUUUAUCUUAUUGUGUUAUCUACUUCUCUUUUAUCUGCAGGUAUCCGAGGAAGGGACUUCACCAUUUACUUAUAUCAUUGUGGACAGUCAAAAGUAAUGAUCAUUCUAACUAUUGUCAAACUUUAUUGAAAAUUUGACCUAUAUAGUACUCUCAAUUCAUUACUUACUCUCUUGAUUGUUUUGACUCAUUGUACUAAUCCUAUCUACAUAUGGCUACACCAUCUUUCUUUAUUGAGUAAUUUGGUUAUCUGAAUUUCAGAAGGAAAAUAAGGGCAUUGAUUAGUUUACAGCUGAGGACAGUACUUAUGCUAAAUUUUGAUUAUUUAAGUUUUACAGCUAAGAUAUUUUUUCAUAUACAAACUUUUCAAUCAAAUGUCUCAGUUGGCAAUGAUUAGAGAAAGCAAUCUAAUAUAGUGAGGCUGGAAGCUCUCGGAAUAUCAUCAUUGUUGGGUUAUCAUUGUUUUUCUCUCUUUCCAUACCUGCCUACUUUCAACAAUAUGGUCUCUCUCCAUCCAACAUGUCAGUGCCGAAUUAUUUCCAGCCUUAUGUUGUGGCUUCUCAUGGACCUAUACAGAGCAAGAAUGGAGGGGUCUGGAGAAUGGGGAGGUCAUUUGACAUUGCAGGCAGCUGCUGAUAAGGUUUGCUAUGCAGAGAUAUUUGCUCUCAUUCCCUAAGAAUUGGAUCUCACUCAAUCUGACAAAUAACUUGUAUGCAUGUUUGUUUUUAUGCAUUCUGUGCAUGACCAUGAUUGAAGAGCAAAUCUCUUAAAUGGAAUUGCAUAUGCUCAAUCCAAUGUAAACAAAUCAAAGAAGAAGAACUAGAUGAACAAAUACUUUCAAGUUUCAGCCACACAAGAGUCUACCAUGAAGUGAAGAAUCAUGUAACUCAGAUUAGAUUGGAGAGUUUAAACUUUAAAGAGAGCAUGAGGAAAUAGUUUUAAAAUUUAGGCUGAAAGUCCUGCCCUUCUCUGUUGUAGUUUAAAAGAAAUUUUGGGGUAUUUUUUUAUAGAGACAGUGAGAUAUUGAAUAAUGGUGUUGAAAAAUAACAUCCAAUUUUAUAGGUAUCAUGUAAUGAAUAUUAUGUUUAUCUAUGUGAUU